rnacentral:lncRNA from 1 species
GAAGAGAUGACAUCUUCACGCCGAGCUCCUAGUGGUGUGUGGGUCAAGACCUUGGCGUUCGUUAUAUACUCUCCCAGCCGUUGCCGAGCGCGCAGACCCAAAGUCCAUGCACUCCUGGAUCUCACAGGCUCCGGAGUGUGGCGCGGGAUGACAGGCUUUAGAACUAUUGGGCAGAUCCUGUGCCCAAGGUUGGUGAAAAUCGGGAGAAGGUGUACAUGAAGACGAAGCCAUUUUGAGAAACUUGGUCAUAACCGCCAGAAUCCCGGGUCUGGGCUGUGAGAGAGGUGGGAGGCACCGACAGCAAGUCUUCGACUAGUUUCUAAUGUCAGUUUUCUCUUUAUCCUUUACAGAUAACCCCGACUUAAAGAAUCAUUGAGGUCUGAGACACUUAGAGCCUCAAUCUACGAAGUUGGAAGAAAGCCCUACAUUUUGCCAAAAUUUUCCCUGCUUUCUUAUUUCCAACUUUUUAAUAAAUACAGCUUUUAAAAAACGUGAACUGCU